rnacentral:rRNA from 1 species
AGAGUUUGAUCCUGGCUCAAGAUGACCUCUGGCGGCAUGCCUAAUACAUGCAAGUCGAACGAGAGGAAGGAAAGCUUGCUUUCCUAAAUCUAGUGGCGAACGGGUGAGUAACACGUAGGUAACCUGCCCAUGUGCCCGGGAUAACUUCUGGAAACGGAUGCUAAAACCGGAUAGGUAGCAGACAAGCAUUUGACUGCUAUUAAAGUGGCUAAGGCCAUGAACAUGGAUGGACCUGCGGUGCAUUAGCUAGUUGGUGAGGUAACGGCCCACCAAGGCGACGAUGCAUAGCCGGCCUGAGAGGGCGGACGGCCACAUUGGGACUGAGACACGGCCCACACUCCUACGGGAGGCAGCAGUAGGGAAUUUUCGUCGAUGGGGGGAAUCCCUGAACGAACAAUGCCGCGUGAGUGAGGAAAGUCUUCAGAUCGUAAAGCUCUGUUGAAAAAAAAAAACCGCCCUCCAAGGGAAUGAUGAGGGAGUGAUGGUAUCUUACCAAAAAGUCACGGCUAACUCCGUGCCAGCAGCCGCGGGUAAUACGUAGGUGGCGAGCGUUAUCCGGAAUGAUUGGGCGUAAAGGGUGCGUAGGUGGCAGAUCAAGUCUGGAGUAAAAGGUAUGGGCUCAACCCGUACUUGCUCUGGAAACUGAUCAGCUAGAGAACAGAAGAGGACGGCGGAACUCCAUGUGUAGCGGUAAAAUGCGUAGAUA